AUUGAACGCUGGCGGCAGGCUUAACACAUGCAAGUCGAGCGAGCGGCGGACGGGUGAGUAAUGUCUGGGAAACUGCCUGAUGGAGGGGGAUAACUCCUGGAAACGGUAGCUAAUACCGCAUACUAGGAGAUGGACAUGCUUUGUAUUAGCUAGUAGGUAGGGUAAAGGCCUACCUGGGCAAAGAGACAUAACAGACCUGCGAGGGUGAUAGUCCACAUGGGGACUGAGACACGGCCCAGACGCCUACGGGAGGCAGCAGUGGGUAAUCUUCCGAAAUGGCCGAAAGUCUGACGUAGCAACGCCGCGUGUGUGAAGAAGGCCUUCGGGUUGUAAAGCACUUUCAGCGAGGAGGCGUUACUCGCAGAAGAAGCACCGGCUAACUCCGUGCCAGCAGCCGCGGUAAUAC
rnacentral:rRNA from 1 species